AGUUCCAGAAAAAAAUCAUUUAAUACUUCAAUAGAUCUGUGAUUACUUUCCGUGUGGGUGCUUUACAGUCAUCCAUAUGGCGUCCCAGCCACAUUUGUAACGACUUUCAGAGUGGGAAAACACUUCAAGGGCCAUCUGGGCCGGCCUCUACUCAAAAUAUGGCCUGUUCAAUUAGACCUCAGAAAAAAAGGUCACCGGGCUUCGGACCCGAGAUCACUGGGCUUCGGACCCGAGAUCACUGGGCUUCGGACCCGAGAUCACUGGGCUUCGGACCGCGGGCUCUCCGGGCAGUUCUCUUCCCUUUAGGCUAACGCUAAUGUGGGGGAAGAUAAUCUUGUCAUUUAGCCUCCAUUUUACUCUGUAUCCGUUCCAAUAGUUGUUUCUAAUUCUGCCCACAAGGACUAAGCAGGGCAAAUUCAAAUCUGCUGGCUUUAACUGCCGCAACCUUGAAAUGCUUCAAUAGAGUAAUUGAACAGCAGUCCGUUUCUCGAGAACAAAGUGUGUGGGUGCGCUAAGUGGGGGUGUAAAGGGAAGGAGGGGCCAGCAGGAGCUCUGGACGUCGUGAUCUGGAGUCCCAGAAGCAUCCUCCCUGGCUAGAUGGAGCAGCGACGCAGCAGGGAGGGAGCAAGGAAGCACUUCCAAUCCAUUCCAGGGAAGUUUUCAGAAGAAGAAAAACAAGCCGUCAACCACCAUGAGGGAAAUGCUCCACAUCACGGACAGGAAGACAAGUAUAAAUGAAGGCCACUCGGAGGGCUGCUUCCUACAGAUUGGCAAAGAUGCGGAAACACCGAAAGCUACGACUAAUGAGAAGCCAUAGGGGCCCAAGGACACCAGCGUGCCGUCAGCCCAACUGUAGGCCUGUUAAAGUACCCUACACAAUGAUUUGGAACUCUAUCAACAAAGCGAUGCGAUUCUGCAUACCAUUUGACUCAGAGAUACCGUCAUGAAGAACACGCCAUUGAGAACGUUGUGAAACAGAAGCAAAGGGCCUGCAUGACGGAAAUUUUUGUAGCAGGACUUUUUGUUAGAGCAAAGAGUUUUAAUAAAUGGGGUAACAACUGGGAAAUGGCAGAAGAACUUUGCUGAACAAAUGUAAUGUUAUUGAAUCAUAGGAGAGGACACAAUUGAUGGAUUCAGAGGAAACUGAGAAGAUUUAUGUGAAUUGACUGAAACUAAAGUUAACAGAAUGUGCAGAGGAAAAUAAUUUUGUAUUAUUUCAGCAUUUUCAGGCCGAUGCUGACUCCCAAAGAACCCUUCGGAAGCGCUUCCCAGUGGAUGGAAGAGUGAGAAGAGACUCUCCAAGCAGAAUGAAAGAUGCAUCUCACAAAAGGACAAAUGAGUCAAGGAGCUGUGACCUCACUUUACCCCUUCGUUUUCUUCCGGGAUUCUAAGUUUGCUGCCUAUUCACAGUGACAUCACGCUGUCACAAACGAGAAACGAGCAGCUAAUUCCCUUCUUCAUCGUGUUUCUCAUUGCAUUAAGUAAUUAAAGUUGGACCUUCAGCAUUACUUUGCAUAUGAUUAUCCAAAUAUGGUUUCAACUUCAUCAUUAGCUAACAGGUAAUACCAAUUUAUCUUUUAUCCUGGGGGAAUUUAUACAUGUUAUUAGAAGCAUUCUAUUUGAUACAACAGACUUCGUUCUCUUAUCCCGUCACGUAUUCUACAUAUUUCCAUUGCUUUCAGGAUAUCAUUUCAAUUUAUUAGGAGUCAUUAUCUGAAGCUAAAGCAUUUACACACAGUAGAAACAAUGUCCUUUCUACUCCCUUAAUAACAGUAAUUAAGAAUCCUAAUGAUAAAUAUAGAUUAUGUUUUAUAGAUUUGGGCUUUUUACUUGGUAUUUUCAUAUAUGCAGUAUUUAUGCUGCCCUUAUUGUCUUUUGCUAAACUCGGAUGCUGAAGUAGAUUUUCUAUUCAAAUUACUUCCAUUUUUAUCCAUUGUGGAGGGAUAUUAUUUCACUUUUUUUAAAGUGGCACUAAUCAUUUUAAGAAAUUUAAAUUUAAGUACAAUAUUUAAACAUAUACAAAGUUUUACCUUUUCAUAUUAUUGCAAUUUUUCAAAUGACUACAAUUUUUAAAUGUAAUUUUAGCUUACAUAUUAUACUUGCUAACAUAACAGACAUUAUAACGUAGUCAUGUAGACUUAUGCGUAGAGAGCUCUUAUGCAUGACAUGAGACUAUCUUCUCAUCCCUAAAAUGGAAAUGUCAUUAUUUGGCUAGAAGAAAGAAAGAAUAAACAACUCCCUUCUUCUCCCCCUCCUUUCUCAAAAGGAGAUUUUUAUUAUUGCUAGGAAGGGAAACGAGAAGUUGAGGCCAAAGCUUAUUCUGAAAUCCUCAGGGAGAGGGGAUACCAGGCUAGAAUUAGAUCUAUCUGCUCCCUUGUAUAUUAUUAUUCUAAGGGAUUUGAUCAGAUUCAAGAUAACUUCUGAAUGCCAUUUCAUUAUUGGUGGUGGACUGGAGAAGAGGAUUCAAAGCUUUAUAUUCAAGAUCUGACCUUUUCCUUCCAAAUACUACUUCCACCAUGACUACAGAUAUCAAAUAGUGAGGAAACCCAUUCACCCAAAUUUUAGUAAAGCAUCAAAGAAACUAUACAAAGAAUGAUAUAUGUCAAUAUCACUAAAUGCUUUUUGGGUGUUUUGAACUGAAUGUGAAUAAGUAUCAUUAACUCAAUAUUUUAUCCUUCUCCUCAAACUCACUCCUUUUUAAAAAUUCCCUAAUAUCAAGAACACCACCAUCUUUCUAGUCACAGGCUUGCAACCUUGGUGUCAGCUCAAAUUAUCUCUCUUGCUCUUCCAAUAUAUUCAAUUAUUUGGCAGAUUUUUCAUUUCCCUUUCUCUAAUAUCUCUCGAAUGUAUUCCAUUCUCUCUACUUAAGAAAACACAACCAUAGUUCAAAAUGCCAUCUCCUCUUGCUUAAAGUAUGUAAAUACCUUCUAAUUAGUUUGCCUCUGUCCCCACUCUAAUGUAGUGUUCACGUAGUGGUCAAAGUGAUUUUCUUAGGCACUCAGCAGAUUGGGACUUGUCAUAGUACUUAAAAUGGGGCAAAUAUAUAUCAUGCAAGAAGUGCUGGGGAUGGAAGAGGGGGGAAAUAAUAAAAUGGAAGGGAGGAAGAGGUUGGUGAUAGGCAAUACUUAAACUGUACUCUCUUUUGAACUGGCUGACAGAGAGAACAGCCAGAACUGCUGGGGUAUGGAAUUGUAUUAUACCAUAUAGAGAAGUAAAAGGAGAAUAAGAAAUGGGAUGGUGGGGAGGGGAGAAAUACAAAGGAGGGAGAAGCUGGUGGGAGCAUCCAAAAAAUCCAAUAGUAAGAGGGAAGUAAGAAGAAAAGGGAGGAAAAGGGGAGAAAUAUAAUGGGAGGGGAAAGGGGGAAGACUGACCAAAAGCAAAAUACUGAAGAGAAGGAAAAGAAUAGAGGACAUGAAGUUAGGAUUUAAAAAGGAAGUUAAAAUGGCGGGGAAAACACAGAUGGUAAUCAUAACUUUGAAUGUGAAUGGGAUGAAAUUACCCAUAAAAUGCAAGUAGAUAGCAGAGUGGAUUAAAUACCAGAAUCCUAGUAUAUGUAGCCACAAGAAAUGCACAUUAGGCAGAUAGACACACACAGGGCAAUGGUUACAGACUAGACCUGAAUCUAUGGGGCUGCAACUAAGACAAAGAAGGCAGGAGCAGAAAUCAUGAUCUCAGACAAAGCUAACAGAAAAAUAAAUUUGAUGAAAAGAGACAAGGAAGGAAACUACAUCUUGAUAACAGGUAACAUAAAUCAUUAAGAAAUAUCAGUACUCAACAUAUGUGCACCAAAUGGUACAACUUCCAGAUAUUUAAAUCAGAAAUUGAAUGAGUUCAAGGAGGAAAUAGAUAUAAAAACCAUAUUAGUGGCGUAUCUCAACCUUCACCUAUCAGAAAAAGACAACAUCCAAAAAUAAAUAAAAAAGAAGUAGGGGAAGUGAAUGAAAUGUUAGAAAAAUUAGAGUUAAUAGCUGUCUGGAGAAAACUAAAAAGGAAUUAAAAAGAAUAUACUUUCUUUUCUGUAACCCAUGGUACAUAUACAAAGAUUGACCAUGCAAUAGGGCAUAAAGCAUAGUAAAGAAAUGCAGAAAAACAGAAAUAAAAAUCACAACUUUCUCAGAUAAUAUUGAGAUAAAAAUCACAAUUAAUGAGGACUCAAGGAGAGGAAAAUAUAAAAGCAAUGGGAAAUUUAAAAAAUCUAAUUCUUCAAAACUGGUGGGUCAAAGAACAAAUCAAAGAAACAAUUACUUAUUUCAUUGAAGAAAAUGACAACAUAAAACCUAUGGGAUACAGGAAAAACAGCACUCAGAAAAAGUUAAAUCCUUGAGUUCCUAUAUCAAAAAAAUUAAAAGUGAGGAGAUUAAUGAAUUGAGCAUGCAACUUAAAAAAAAAAAAAACUAGAUAAAGAACAAAUUUUUAAAACCAAUAAAAAUUACAUUGGAAGUCAAAAAAAUUAAAGGAGUAAUUAAUAAAAUUAAAAAUAAAAGAACCACUGAACUAAUAAAUAAGACAAGGAGAUGGUUCUUAAAAAAAACAAAAAAUAGAUAAAGUUUUGGUUAAUUUAAUAAAAAAGAAAGAAGAGUAUCAAAUUAAUGACAUAAAAAAUGAAAAGAGCAAUAUCACCUCAAAAGAAGAGGAAACUGACAAUUAUUGAGAGGUAUUUUAUACAAUUAUAUGGCAAGAAUUAUGACAAUGUAGGUGAAAUGGAUGAAUAUCCACAAAAAAACAUAAAUUGCCUAGAUUAACAAAAAAGAAAAUAGAAUACUUAAAUAAUCCCAUAUAAGAAAAAUAAAUUGAACAAAGCAUUAAGGAAUUCCAUAAGAAAAAAUCUCUGGGCACAGAUAGAUUCAUAAGUGAAUUUUACCAUACAUUUAAAGAAUAACUAAUUCUAAUACUAUACAACUAUUUGACAAAAAAAAAAGCAAUGGAGUCCUACCAAAUUCUUUUAAUGACACAAAUAUGGUACUGAUUCCCAAGCCAGUAAGAGCAAAUUCUGAGAAAGAAAAUUUUAAACCAAUCUUUCUAAUGAGCAUAGAUGCAAAAAUCUUAAAUAAAAUUCUAGCAAAGAGACUAGAACAAGUUAUCACAAGGAUUAUUCACUAUGACCAGGUGGUAUUUAUACUAAGAAUGCUGGGCUGGUUUAAUAUUUGGAAAACCAUCCACAUAAUUGACCAUAUGAACAGCCAAACUAAUAAAAAACACAUGAUUAUUUCAAUACAUGCAUAAAAAGUCCUUGACAAAAUACAAAAUCCAUUCCUACUGAAAACACUAGAAAGUCUUGGAAUAAAAUGGACUUUGCUCAAAACCAUAAGCAUUAUAUAUUUAGUGAAGUAAGGAUGCCCAUUAUCACCUGUGUUAUUUAAUAUUGUACUAGAAACUCUACUAGAAGAGAAAAUGAAAUUGAAGGGAUUAAAGUAGGCAAAUGAGGAAACUAAAGUAUUACUCUUUACAGAUGAUAUGAUGGUCUACUUAAAGAAACUUAGAAAAUCAACUAAAAAGCUAGUGGAAAUAAUUAACAAAUUUAACAAAGUUGUAGGGUACAAAAUCAGCAUUUCAAUAUAUUUCCAGCAAAGCUCAACAGCAAUAAUUAGAAAGAAAUUCCAUUUAAAAUCAUUCUAGACAAUUUAAAAUAUUUAGGAGUCUAUUUGCCAGGAAAAACACAGGAACUAUAUCAACACAACUAGAAUACAUUUUUCACACAAUUAAAACUAGAUCAAAACAAUUGGAAAAACAUCAAUUUUUCAAGGAUAGGAUGAGCUAAUAUAAUAAAAAUGAUAAUACCGCCCAAAAUUAAUCUACUCAUUCAGUGCCAUACCUAUGUAGUAGGAUAUUUGUUACUUAAGAGUUAAUUAAGUAAGAGUUUAGUAGGAAAUAGAGCUAAGUAACAUAGGUUAUUUUAUAGAUGCAUAAGAGGAAGAGGUUGAGUUUCCUUAAAUGGAGUCCUAGAGAUGGAUUGUGGGUAAGAAAAUUUUCCCAGAGUGCCUUGGGAGAUGGUUAACCAACUGACUGAGUACUCUUUGUGGCUGAUCCUGUGGUGAGAAGUCUCAAGAGUGGUUCGGCUAGACUGGAAAAUUAUCAGUUACUUUCUACAUCAAAAAUUCAUCUAGUAGACCAUAAUAGGAAGAAGAUUACUGGAUGAAAAUUCAUUGCAAGUCCAGCUGGUUUUCUGUGAGUUUAGAGGAAUGUUGUGGAGAUUCUGAGCUAUUUUUUCCAGGUGUACAGCUAAGAAGAGAAAAGAAUUUAUUCUUUUGUGUAUAAGGUAAGUAUUUAUAUAGGCUAAGACAGAUUUAGGGUUUGGGAAAAGUAGUCCCAACUCUGUUGGACACUGAAGAGACACUUGUGGGUCAGAUUAAUUAGGUGGUCAGAUAAUAAUUUAUUAGAUUAGGGAUCAAUUUAUUAUAAGAAUUUCCUUUCCAUUCAUUUGCUUGUUCUAUCCCUUUCCUUUAGGUUUUUACUUACAAUAAAUAUAUUUUUUAUAUAAUUGGCCAACCCAGAAUUCUUAAGACUACUCUGAGAGCCAUUUUUCUCAAUAGUCAUAUGCCUACAGUCUAUCCUCCUAGGAAAAAUUAAUACUGAUACCACACUAUAUAAAUAAUCUAGUUAGCCUUAGUAAACUCUAACUUAUACCUAUCAAAAUCCCAAUAAAUUUUUAUAGGAUUAGAAAAAAACUAAUAAUUUUCAUCUGGAAGAACAAAAGAUCAAGAAUAUCAAGGGAAAUAAUUUUUAAAAAUAUGAAGGAUAGGAAUAUUUAAGAAUAGAGUUAGAGUAAAUGACCUCAGCAAGCUAGUGUUUGAUAAACUUAAAGACCUCAGCUUUUUUGGAACAGGAACUCACUAUUUGACAAAAACUGCUGGAAAAAUUGGAAAAUGGGAUGGGAAAAAUUUGGAGUAGAUAAAUAUCUCACACUGUUUACUGUGGGUUUUAAAAUUAAUACUCAAUAACUCAAGUAUUAUAUUUAUAAGAUUUAUUAAUAAUAAGGAAAGUAAAAAAGAACUAGCUAAAAAAGGUGAUAACCUAGUCUUCUUGCAAAAGAAGAAGAAAAGGGAGGAGUUACAGCCAACUUAUAACCAAUCAUACAAACACAAAAGAUGUAGGAAAAGGGAAUAGGAUUCUAGGUAAUACAGAAAGGAAUUUUGAGUAAUGUAGUUUUUAGGGGUUCAAGAAUUUCGAACUAUACAUCCACCGCCCUGUGAUCCUCUUGGGAGACCAGUCUCCCCAAAAGGAUCAUGGAAACAACUAACUUAUAAAUUGCAAUAAUUUGUGGAUAAAAGGAAAAGAGAACAAAACCGGUGAUUACUAGAUUAACAAAAAACAAUUUUGGGGCAGUCCCCUUUGGCACAAGAGUAUACAUUCAAAGCAAAAGCAUUCCAACCCCCCAUAGUUCAAUUCACAUCCCAAAGUUCACUCUGUAUCUUCUGGUGCAGCAUGUGGUCUCUUCAGGCAUUUUCAUGGUGACUUCUCCAAAAAGUUCACCUUCUUGGAGGUAGUCUCUUAUUUCUUAUUCUAAAAUUGCUCAAAUUCAAAUAAAAGUUCAAACAAUAACAUAGCCCCCCCCCCCAGGUGUAUAAUAACAAACACAGGUAUUAUUCAGGGAUGUAUGGCCAAGUUAUGAGGUAUAUGAAUCAAUUGUCAGAAGAAAUCAAAACCUUAAAAAAAAUCCAAAUAAAAGAGGAAAAAUAACUUAUGGAUGAAGUACAAAAUAUCAAAGUCUUAUAUCUGAAAAAUUCUAAAGUAAAGGAAAAAAAACUAUAACAAGUCCUUGAAUCAGGGCCCAAUUAAAAUGAUUUAAGCAAUUAUUCAUUUACCCAAUCAGUAGCCAGGACUACAAAAAGUUUGUCACACCAUGAGAGGCAGAAAAGGGACUAUAUUAUGGGAGCUAGGAAGGCAGCAAAAGUGAGAUACUUGGUAGAAUGUGGCUCAGAGAAAGACUUGCCCUUGACAUAUUUCAAAACAGCUGCAACAUCAUACCCUAAAAGAGUUCAAGUUAUCAUUUGUUGCCUCAAAAUUACAUCAGUCCCACUGGGAUUUGGUCUCUUAGACCUUGUGCUCAAUAGGCACUAUGAAGUGGCUUUUUGCUUCUUUGGCACUGUGCAAUGGCUCUUUUUGUUCCUUUCUCCUGGAAUCAGAGAGAAUCAUUAAGCAAAGUCCCAUAAUAUUUUAAUCAGUGGCAUCAUUUUUAUAGUCCAAAGCCCCUUAGGUAUGCAUUAAAAUUAGGGCAAAUGUAUUUUAAACUUAUGUUAUUGAAAUUUUUUUAAAAAUUAAAGAAAAUCUUCUCAAUACUGGUUGACAUGUGCUUCAAAUACAAAAAAGGAGAGAAAAAAUAAAUACUCAAACACUAUAUUGCGCAUGCAAAGAAAAAAAUAAUUAAAGUUUUAAAAAUCAAAAAUAUAUAGCUUACAGUCAGUGACACACUGUGCCAACCAAGGAGAGGUAGAAUACAAAGGUUCCUCACUAAAAAUGAGAUCAAUUUCCUUUUAAACUUGGCCAUGAACCCCUGUGUGUGUGCAAAUGAUUUUCACAAUAAAACAGUAUUACAGUAGAUACUGCACAUUCAAAGAAAGUUUAAAAAUCCCCCAAAUUCACAACAUCCCAGUUAAUUACAAUAGCAAACAAACCCACUAUCAUAUUUCAUGUAGGUUGCUGUGUGACCUUUAAAAAAAAAAACUAUGAACUGAUGGAUAUUUGUCACAAUUUUUACACAUGUAGCAAUUCUUUCAACCUUGGGAAAUAUAUUUUAAACUAAGUAUAUUACUACAAUUAUUUCAAAGUUUGGUAGAAGAGUCUAGGAAAAAAAAAAACCAAACCUCUCUAUUAUUGAGGAAAAUCUGUUUGGGAUCUAUAACAUCACCAAGAAAUCUAGAUUGUUCUGGUGGAAGUAAAUUAAACUGAAAAGUUAUGCAGAAUCUCUUUUUGGCCUCCUGCUUUAUAUAUAAAAACUCUUUUGAUAGGAACUUCUAUUUGGUUCUCUACCUUUAAUACAACAUUAUAUAUAAUAUAUACAUAUAUAAUCCAUUCAGAAACCACUAGUUAUCUAAAAUUAUUUCUGAAGACCCCUUAAAAUUAUAAUUUAAAUUCUUAGCUCAUUAAAUUCUCCAAAGGUUGUAUACAAGUUGUAACCAGUUUUGUUGAAGUUCAUCCAUCAUCUUCUAUGUGACAAUUAACAAAGGCAAAAAGGCAAAAAAGUGCUUUUAAGGAAACAUGUGAUUUUUGAUGGAUCUGGUGACAAGGGUUUGGGCCAGAUGUUCAUGGGCUUAUACAAUGAUAUUUUCUUUGUAAGCAGAGAUAAAGGUAUAAAUUAAAGAUCAAUAUAGGCAAAACAUAGUAUCUUAAAAUGAUUCAGAAUAACAGAGAAAUAAUGAUUAGAUUAAUACAGAUAAACUUAAAAAAUUUAAACCUUAAAGCAGUCAGCAAUAUAAUAGGCAUUAAAGUCAAAAAUUCUUUUUUCCAAUCUGAAUAGGCUUAUUAAUCUCUUGAGGUGAACAGAAUGAAGAUGGUUAGCAAAUAAAAUAAUGGAGAUUGAAAAGGUUUAAAAUUCACCUCCAAAUCUUGGUAAAGUUCUUCCCCUACCCCAUAUUUAUUAUCCAUCUAGAUUUUUUUUAUUGCCCCUCUUAAGUUCAUACAUGCAUUGGGCAGAAUAUGAAGAAAUCCCAUAUAGGAUGUGGUGCAGAAACUGGGCAUGCUAAAAUGACAGUGAGAUAUAGGGAGAUUCAUUUCUCCCUCAAAUCUUAAGAUUAGUCAAGCUCUCAACUGCAAGGUAUCCAAUCAGUACAAAAACCUCCAGGAUCAGAAGCAAGAAAACACACCCUAAAACUGUAAGCUCUAUGGAAAUGGAAGCUGUUUGAGGUGGGCAAGAAACUGAACUAUGCUUUGUAACAGCAUUAUUCAUAAAAAAAACACUAAUGGGGUCUGUUUACAGAGUAAACAAGUUAGAAGGCAAAACUUUGAGGGAAAACAGUAGAAUAUUUGCAUAUGAAUGAAUGACAUUUUGGUUUGGUAUUUUUAGUCAAGAGAGAGAUAGAAAAAUCAGGCUUAUUUCCCAAAACUGACUUUAAAUCACUGAUUUGGACUAACUUCCCUCCCUUUGAAAAACCUUUAGUAAUAGCCUUCUAAACUAGGAGUCCAGGAGGCAGAGUCAAGAUGGCAGCUAAGAUGCAGCAAAAGUCCAGACCUCUGGAGACCCUUACACACCAAUAAGAAACACAGUGCUUUGAGGGGACAGAAAACCAAAUCUAACAACAGGACAGAGCUAGGGAACCCUCCUGCUAGACUUAAUUUAAAAAGGUAUACCCCCCCCAAAGCCUGAAUUCUUGAACACUCAGGUUAAAGGGGAAGGAAGAAGGAAGUUCCCAUGACCUCUCCCCCAACUUCAGUGUUGAGCCUCCAGCAGUAGCUGGAAUCUCUGGGCUGGCAAGGGCGCUAGUCCAGAGGGAGUAUCUUGUCGGCAUAGCUGUGCCAGGAUCAGGGCAUUGAAUAAAAGCAGUGGUGAAGCAGCUGGAGGAGAAGCUCAGAGAAGGCAGCCUAGUCAGAGCCAAGACCUCCAUUUGUUAUAAAACAAAAUCAAAAGAAUGAAAAAUUUGAGGAAAAUAUGAAAUACCUAAUUGAAAAACCACAGACCUUGAAAACAGAUCCAGGAGAGAUAAUUUAAGAAUCAUAGGACUACUGGAAGAUCAUGACAAAAGAAAAAGCCUGGACAUCAUUCUACAGGAAAUUAUUCAAGAAAACUUCCACAACAUUCUCAAGCAAGAAGGAAAAAUGGAGAAUAUUAUGGAAAUAGGUUUUGAACAAUGAUAUAUAUAUAUAACUCUAUGGAAUUGCUUGUCAGCUCCAAGAGGGGAGGGAAAAGAAGGGGGAAAGAACAUCUUGUAACCAUGGGAAAGUAUACUAAAUAAAAUUUUUAAAAAUUUUAGUUCAUGUGCUACCACUUGUGAAAUGGCUUUCCUUUUUCCUAAGACACUUAGGACACUUUCUCCUUUUUCAUUA